AGAAGAUAACAGACACAUCAUGAAUAACCUGUUUGGUUUGAGAUUUUAAUUUAAACAUAUAUGCAAGAGUCAUGAGUCAUGACCUAAUGGAAAUGUAAUGUUACAGAAAACAUGAAUUCAACAGAUUCAUGAUGACACCUUGUUGAUUCCAGGACCAAACCUGGUUCCAGCAAUCGUGGUGCUUGGAAUACUGUUGGCUUGCUGUCUGGUUGUGAUUAUAAUCCUCCUUCUCACCAGAAAUAAAAAGCAAGUUUGUGAGCAUUGCAAAGGAACACUGGGUGCUUCCUACUCUGUCCCACACGACUCAGUGAUUCAGGAACAACAGGACGGGAAAACUGAUUCCUUGAACUACGCAGCGUUGGAGUUCUCUGGCAGGAAAACAAGAGGAAGGAAGAAAAACAGUGAAAGGACUCAGGAGAGUCUGUAUUCUGCUGUGAGAGAAACCUGCCACUGAAAUGCAUUGACCUAGUUUGAAUUCCUCAAUAUUGUAACGUGGAUGUGCAGUAUAUUUCAAAAAGUGUUAAAAGUAGAAGUUUAAAAUACGAUGGGAGAAGCUAAGGUAAAUAGUAAGAUUAGGACAAUGCUCGAGUAGCACUGAACUAGAACAAGAGAGAUGAUAGGAAGCAACACUUAAAGCGCUAUUUUUCAUUAGCUUGUAUUAACCAGCCCAACGCCGGUGGGCAAAGCCCUGGAUGUUCAUGAAACCGAAAAUUAUUUCAUAAUGCUUAACCUAAAUAAACAAAAUACGCCAGUUAUUAUAGCUUUAAAUAGCUACCUGACUGCUGUGCUACUUAUCCCCAAACAUCUAAAGUUCCAUUCAAGUUAUUUCAGAGUAAAAUAAAUACAAGUGAGACAGACCUUACACACAUAUACAUAUAUAGUCUGGUUAUGCUUUUAAACUGUUUAUUCUCUUGCCAGAAGGACUAUCUAGAACAGGGGUCUCAACUAAACUUACCUGGGGGCCGCCGGAGAUAGAGUUUGGGUCAGGCUGGGCCGCAUCAAUUAUGCCACAGAAAAUAGGAGCACAAGUGACCCAAUCUAAGUUAAUGAUCGGGCUAUCAUUAGAUCACGUUGGCAAUGUAAUCGCUGACAUCAGGGGACAUUUCAUAUUGGAUGGUGGUAACCGGGACAUUCUAGCGUCCUUUGGCUUUUGUCGGGACUCGGCAAAACCGGGAUAUCUGGUCACCCUAUCACAAGUGAUAAAAAAGCGUGGCAAGCCACUUAGCAACACACUUUGACAACAAUGCGCAGACCGCACUAACACUUAACUUUGAUGUCAAGUAGGGGGCCACAAAAUAUCAUCCUGCGGGCCUCAAUUGGCCCCCGGGCCGCGAGUUUGAGACCCCUGAUCUAGAAGGACUAGGCUACUUUAUUUUGAGAUGUCCCUGGAAUCCCCAUGUUUCUUUCUAAAUAACUAAGUAGCGUGACCAUAAUAAUUUUAUCACUUCUAGACUGAAUUGAAUUAAUGCAUUCCAUAGUUACCAGUAAAUAUACCAAUAUAUAUUUAAUUUCUUCUAUAUAUCUUUUUUUUACUCAAAAGAUUAUAUUCGGGGCUAAUUAAAUAAUAUCCGGGGCUUUAGCCUCGAAUAAAACAGCCUAGUGUCGCCACUGGUAUUAACUGCCACUUAACACUGGUCAUUAUAAAAGGCUUGAGUUCAAGAAGCUACACAGAGCAUAUUCAUAUCUCUCCACCUGAUUGUAGCUGGGGUUCAUUUGGUUCUAGCCAUAAUGUGUGUGCUUGGCUGCCAAAGGUUUUUGUGUCGCUGUAAAUGUUCAUGUGUUUCAUUCAUUUUCAAAAGUUAUUUGCUAUUCUAAAAUGUUGUUAAUAAAGGAAUUGAAUGAAUUGAUGAAUACGAUCUUCUAUUCU